AUUGAACGCUGGCGGCAGGCUUAACACAUGCAAGUCGAGCGAGCGGCGGACGGGUGAGUAAUGUAUGGGAAACUGCCUGAUGGCGGGGGAUAACUACUGGAAACGGUAGCUAAUACAGCAUACCAUCAGAUGUGCCCAGAUGGGAUUAGCUAGUAGGUGGGGUAAUGGAUCACCUAGGCGACGAUCCCUAGCUGGUCUGAGAGUAUGACCAGCAACAAUGGAACUGAGAAACGGUCCAGACUCCUACGGGAGGCAGAAGUGGGGAAUAUUGCACAAUGGGCGCAAGCCUGAUGCAGCCAUGCCGCGUGUGGGAAGAAGGCCUUCGGGUUGUAAAGCACUUUCAGCGAGGAGGCGUUACUCGCAGAAGAAGCACCGGCUAACUCCGUGCCAGCAGCCGCGGUCAUUC
rnacentral:rRNA from 1 species